CAGCAGACACAUUCCAGCCAAUCAGCAGCAGACCCUCCCUCCCUCCCACCUCAUGGACAGCAUCCAUUUUGAAGCUGCAUUCUUAGUGAGCUGUCCAGGAGGUGGGAGGGUCUGGGAGGGAGGGUCUGCUGCUGAUUGGCUGGAAUGUGUCUGCUG